ACGGAAGGCAGCAGUGGGGAAUAUUGGGCAAUGGGCGCAAGCCUGACCCAGCAACGCCGCGUGAAGGAAGAAGGCUUUCGGGUUGUAAACUUCUUUUGUCAGGGAAGAGUAGAAGACUGUACCUGGCGAAUAAGCCACGGCUAACUACGUGCCAGCAGCCGCGGUAAUACGUAGGUGGCAAGCGUUGUCCGGAUUUACUGGGUGUAAAGGGCGUGUAGCCGGGUCGGUAAGUCAGAUGUGAAAUCCACGGGCUCAACUCGUGAACUGCAUUUGAAACUGCUGAUCUUGAGUAUCGGAGAGGUAAGUGGAAUUCCUAGUGUAGCGGUGAAAUGCGUAGAUAUUAGGAGGAACACCAGUGGCGAAGGCGACUUACUGGACUGUAACUGACGUUGAAGCACGAAAGUGUGGGGAGCAAACAGGAUUAGAUACCCUGGUA
rnacentral:rRNA from 1 species